rnacentral:rRNA from 1 species
UACGUAGGAGGCGAGCGUUGUCCGGAUUUACUGGGCGUAAAGCGCGCGCAGGCGGCAUGGCAAGUAAGGUGUGAAAUCUCCCUGCCUAACGGGGAGGGUGCAUUUUAGACUGCCAAGCUAGAGGACGGUAGAGGGGGGUAGAAUUGCUGGUGUAGCGGUGAAAUGCGUAGAGAUCAGCAGGAAUACCCGUGGCGAAGGCGGCCCCCUGGGCCGGAACCUGACGGCCUGAGGCG